rnacentral:lncRNA from 1 species
AUGAUAACGGCAGUUGGAAAACAGCAGGUUUUCUCCACCUCGCCCGAGGGAGGGGCUGGAGCCCUAACCUCGGCAAGCUGGCGAUGGGUCUUCUGUGUUUUACUUUUGUGGGUUUUUAAAACACUUUUAUGCUAUUGUAUUUAUGUGGGUCGUUUGAGUCAGGGUCUUGCUGUGGAGCCCAGUCCGGCCUGGAACUCGCAGCGAUCCUCCUGCCUCAGCCUCCUGGGUGCCGGCUGUGCGUGGAGAACCCAGGAGACCCUGAGCCCGGCCCUUGCCCGCAGAGCCUGCUGCGCCCAUCGGAAGCCUCCGGGUGGAGCCGGACAGCCGCAAGCUGACCUGGGACGUCCUCGGGAACCUGUCGGGCAUCGAGUGCUCCAAAGGCGCCAGCAUCUUCCGUAUGGCGUAUGAGAACAAGCUCUGCCACUUCGAGACGAUGUCCUUGUGCACUGUGACAAACUACACGGUCAGGGUGACGCAGCCGCCGUUCUCCAGUUGGAUUCUCUUUCCUGAGCCCGGUGAGGGAAGAGGAGAGGUCGCGUUGGCCUCGCGGCCUCGGGGGGCUCGGUCCGCGGUCGGCGGCCCCGGGGUC